GACGAACGCUGGCGGCGUGCUUAACACAUGCAAGUCGAGCGGAAAGGCCCUUUCGGGGGUACUCGAGCGGCGAACGGGUGAGUAACACGUGAGUAAUCUGCCCCUGGCUUUGGGAUAGCCACCGGAAACGGUGAUUAAUACCGGAUACGACCACUUCUUGCAUGGGAUGGGGGUGGAAAGUUUUUCGGCCAGGGAUGUGCGCGCGGCCUAUCAGCUUGAUGGUGAGGUAAUGGCCAACCAUGGCGUCGAGUGGUAGCCGGCCUGAGAGGGUGACCGGUCACAAUGGGACUGAGACACGGCCCAGACUCCUACGGGAGGCAGCAGUGGGGAAUAUUGGACAAUGGGCGGAAGCCUGAUCCAGCAACGCCGCGUGAGGGAUGACGGCCUUCGGGUUGUAAACCUCUUUCAGCAGGGACGAAGCGCAAGUGACGGUACCUGCAGAAGAAGCACCGGCCAACUACGUGCCAGCCGCCGCGGUAAGAC
rnacentral:rRNA from 1 species